AGAGUUUGAUCAUGGCUCAGAAUCAACGCUGGCGGCGUGCCUAACACAUGCAAGUCGAACGCGGAAGCCCCGCAAGGGGUAAGUAGAGUGGCAAACGGGUGAGUAACACGUGGGUGACCUGCCUUCGAGUGGGGGAUAACGUCCCGAAAGGGACGCUAAUACCGCAUGACAUCCUGCUCUUGGACGAGCGGAGAUCAAAGCUGGGGAUCGCAAGACCUGGCGCUUGAAGAGGGGCCCGCGCCUGAUUAGCUAGUUGGUAGGGUAAUGGCCUACCAAGGCUACGAUCAGUAGCCGGCCUGAGAGGGCGGACGGCCACACUGGGACUGAGACACGGCCCAGACUCCUACGGGAGGCAGCAGUGGGGAAUUGUUCGCAAUGGGCGCAAGCCUGACGACGCAACGCCGCGUGGAGGACGAAGAUCUUCGGGUCGUAAACUCCUGUCGACCGGGAAGAACGUUCCAGGGGCGAAUAGCCUCCUGGAGGUGACGGUACCGGUAAAGGAAGCCCCGGCUAACUCCGUGCCAGCAGCCGCGGUA
rnacentral:rRNA from 1 species